rnacentral:rRNA from 1 species
CCUACGGGGGGCAGCAGUGGGGAAUAUUGCGCAAUGGGCGAAAGCCUGACGCAGCGACGCCGCGUGAGGGAUGAAGGUCUUCGGAUCGUAAACCUCUGUUAGCAGGGAAGAACGGUCACUGUGCUAACUAGCAGUGAAUUGACGGUACCUGCAAAGGAAGCACCGGCUAACUCCGUGCCAGCAGCCGCGGUAAUACGGAGGGUGCGAGCGUUAAUCGGAUUUAUUGGGCGUAAAGCGCUCGUAGGCGGUAUGUCAAGUCAAGGGUGAAAUCCCCGCGCUCAACGUGGGAGCUGCCUUUGAAACGGGCAAACUGGAGUGUGUAAGAGGAUAGUGGAAUUCCAGGGGUAGGAGUGAAAUCCGUAGAUAUAUGGAGGAACAUCAGUGGCGAAGGCGACUAUCUGGCACAUAACUGACGCUGAGGAGCGAAAGCGUGGGUAGCAAACAGGAUUAGAUACCCGAGUAGUC